rnacentral:rRNA from 1 species
AUUACAGAGACUCUGCCCUUUGGGUAGACCUCCCACCCUGUGUCGUUAUACCUCUGUUGCUUUGGCGGGCCGCGGGGCUCCGGCCCCGCCCCUGGCUCCGGCUAGGGCGCGCCCGCCAGAGGACUACCAAACCUGAAUGUUAGUGUCGUCUGAGUACUAUGUAAUAGUUAAAACUUUCAACAACGGAUCUCUUGGUUCUGGCAUCGAUGAAGAACGCAGCGAAAUGCGAUAAGUAAUGUGAAUUGCAGAAUUCAGUGAAUCAUCGAAUCUUUGAACGCACAUUGCGCCCCUUGGUAUUCCGGGGGGCAUGCCUGUUCGAGCGUCAUUACAACCCUCAAGCUCUGCUUGGUCUUGGGCGUCACCGGUCCCCGGUGUGCCUUAAACUCAGUGGCGGCGCCGUCUGGCUCUAAGCGUAGUACAUACUCUCGCUACAGACGCCCGGCGGAUGCUGGCCAGCAACCCCCAAUCUAUCAAGGUUGACCUCGGAUCAGGUAGGGAUACCCGCUGAACUUAAGCAUAU